GCCAUCUAUCUCUGGGAGUUUGUUAGCAUUUUAUUCCUCAGUGACCAUCAGCUUUCUUUGAAGAAUAGUAUUUGAUGUACAUCUUGCAACCAAUUACAAGAUAAAGGCAUGUAAUUCAUGAAUGACCCACCCUGACUGAGGCAGCCCCAAAGCUGACUGCAGACACAUGUACUGAUCCAAAAUGAGAAGAACUCAAGAAGGAACUACAUCCAUCCCAAGGAGAGACAACCCAGAAUGAAGCUACUGAUGGAAGCUUAGUGUUACUGAGGCAUCAGGAAAUUCCUUUUGGAAACAUGAAAAAAAAAAAAACCCUCAAUUAGGAAGGAUGGAUUUUGAACUUUGAGAAUUCCUGACUACAGAUCUUGAACUGGGUAGGACAAGAAAAACUGAUCUUUAACUUUCAUGCCUUGGACUUUAACUUGCAAAGGGCAAAAUUUUAUUUGCACUUAUAUUUGGUAUGUUAUGUCUUUGAAUUUUAAUAUGAUAAUGGGGGUGCAUUUUUAUUAAAAUUUGAACAAGUUCUGCAUUGUUGACAUUUUAUUAUUGAAUAUCUGUAUGCAUUUUAUGGGAUAUUUUAAUGUUGCCACUUAAUCUCAUUGCUGAAGCUCUCAUAUAUUCUGUUAAAAAACAUCUCUGGACAUUAUUUAGGGUGGGAUAUUGGGUAGUGAAUGGAUUUUCAGCUUUGGAUGCAGAGGGUCCCUGAAGUUAUUUUAGUUACUUCAUUACUCAAACUCAUUUUAGAGCAUUCCAGUGGGGGA